rnacentral:rRNA from 1 species
GAUGAACGCUGGCGGCGUGCUUAAUACAUGCAAGUCGAGCGAACAGACGAGGAGCUUGCUCCUCUGACGUUAGCGGCGGACGGGUGAGUAACACGUGUAUAACCUACCUAUAAGACUGGGAUAACUUCGGGAAACCGGAGCUAAUACCGGAUAAUAUCUUGAACCGCAUGGUUCAAUAGUGAAAGACGGUUUUGCUGUCACUUAUAGAUGGAUCCGCGCCGCAUUAGCUAGUUGGUAAGGUAACGGCUUACCAAGGCAACGAUGCGUAGCCGACGUGAGAGGGUGAUCGGCCACACUGGAACUGAGACACGGACAAGACUCCUACGGGAGGCAGCAGUAGGGAAUCUUCCGCAAUGGGCGAAAGCCUGACGGAGCAACGCCGCGUGAGUGAUGAAGGUCUUCGGAUCGUAAAACUCUGUUAUUAGGGAAGAACAAAUGUGUAAGUAACUAUGCACGUCUUGACGGUACCUAAUCAGAAAGCCACGGCUAACUACGUG